rnacentral:lncRNA from 1 species
ACAACAUAGCUGUUACACUACUUUUCUCUUUUUUUUCCUGUUUUCAGAGAGUACGUAAAAAAUAAGAAUGCCUGCAUUUUUUAGUUUUCAUGUUAUCAAAUUGUAGCUGAAAAGAAGAUUUCCAAAGUCACCAAAAAUCCUACCCUGUCUCUAACAGAAAAUAUGGUGCCAAUGGAUUUCAGGACAUCACAAGAAGAAUUGACUGGCUUUUAUCCUUUUCUUAUUUACUUUCGGGUUGUAAUUGUAACACAAUGUUAUGUAUUGCGAUGGUACUUGCAAUAUAAUUGCUGUGAGGCGUAAAUAUUUGUUUCUUUUUCUCUGAAUGAAAACGUUUGUGGGUGAUCUGAUCGCACAGCGCUUAUGUUGCAUUGGAUUCAAGGUUGUUGAAACCAUGGGUGAUCACUUGGUACAACAUCGUAAGCUGCAGGCUAAUGAGAAACGUUCUUUAUACAACUUCAACUUUAAGCCUUUUUUCAGGUCAAGAAAUCUGUUUUGAGCUUUCAAAAGUUCAGAGGGGCAUUGUUUGCUGUUACUUACUUCAGAGACACCUAGUUUCUAGGGAUUCCUCAAUCUUUCAACAGCCUUAUUGAAGCUGUCAAAUCUAGUACUAAUAAAAACAAAAACAAAUAAAUUUAGGUAUCUAAUAACGUUUUGAAAGUAUAGAUUCUAUUUUGAGAACAAAAACCAAUGUUCACACAAAAUAAAUGGAAACUUCUUCUCGAUGGCAAAGUAAGCUUGAAUCUGACACAAUUAACAAAGUAUCUCCGUAGACACACUAUAUUUCUGAUCAUUAAGAGAAGAUUGAAUUAAAAAAUUGAAAGUAAAAGAUAGUAGGUACAUAGUAGUGAAAUAACUUUUCAGAAACUUCGACUUAUUCUAAAUUUUUCUUCUUUGUAUUACAGGAAUUGUCAACCGUUUCUUGUCGAGUAAAUUUUUCAUGCCGUUGGGUCGAUUGACAUACUGCAUUUAUCUCACUCACAUUGUAGUGAUCAUUCACAAACUGGGUACAGCCAGACAGCCUGCUUACAUCAGUGCUUAUGAUACGUUCCAUGAGACAAUAGGUGACAUUAUUAUCAGCAUUGUAUUGGCAACUAUCUUAUCUCUUCUUUUUGAAUCACCGAUAAUGGUCCUGGAGAAAACCCUCUUCCACGACAGCGAAGUUCAAGAGAAUGAUCCUGAAAUGCCGAACACAGACCGACGUUCAAAUUCAGAGUUAUCUACUAGCUACGGAGUUAAUAAUCCAAUUUAUCACUACGCUACUGAUCGUUUUGAUGAGACAUAGGGGAUCAAUUAAAAGAAGAAAAAUAUUUAAGUUGUUAGAUUUUUUUGCUUGAAACUAAUGAUCCCAUCCCAAAUACAAACCCAGUAACUAUAAUUCAAUGUUUCCAAAAGUGAAAAUUUUCCAUCAAUUUUCAUGAAUAAUACUGAAUGUAGGUACAGAGGAAAAUAAAUAUUACUUGUGGGCAUCUUUCUUCAGUUCAGAAAAUGAACUUUUAGAAAAAAGACGAGGAUGUAUUUGCACCACCUUAAGAAUAUCCAUGUUUCUUCUACAUAUUCCUUUGCUCAACAUGGUAGAAUAAAUCCAUCUACAGAGCUCCUGUCCCAGACGAAAGGCCCUAAUUAACCUUGAUGUUGCUCAGCAAAGCUUUAGUACAAAGGUGUAAAAUAUAAUUUAUUACCUGCACAGUGCAAAAACAGCUGAUGGGCUUGCAUCAAAUUUUCAUCAGCGAGCUUGCUGCAGAAAACCCUCUUGCAAAGAGGAAAACCAAAGUAAAUAUAUAUCCUACAUCUUUGCCUCCCUGUGAAAAUUAGAAAACGUUAGUGGACUGCAGUGAAUUAGAAGUACUACAGCUCAGAGCCCAAAUCUUGUUGGUUCACAGUCAACCGCAAGUUGAAAAACAAAACCUCUCAAUUUGACUGUAAAUCAUGAAAAUUAUAUUCUAAAUUCAAGCCGUGCGCAAGUGGAGCUAUUUUUGGACACUGGUUGGUUUUUCAACAAUACAAAUCAUUAAUCAGUGAUCGAAUAACAAUUUCGACAAUCAUACUGCAACUUUAAACCAUAAUUAAUUUGGCCAACAAGAUUUGGGGCUGGUGUAUACAUAAAAAAACACAAACGAGGAAAAAGAAAGAACCCAAGUAGCAUUGUCAUCUGCUUUCUAGGUGGCGCUCAUCAAGAAAAUGUCUACUUUUUAGAUAGAACAAUUUUCUUGAAAGAAAAUAGGUAUAAAGUAGAUCUAGAAAAUAGACACAAGAAAAUAGAAAGAAAAUACAUUUUUCCUUGCAUUUUUAAAAAGAAAACAUUACGAAAUUGGCUAGAAAAUAAUUCUACUUUCAAUAAAUUUUCUAUCUUUUUUCCAAAUGGAAAGUUGACAGAAAGUAGACCUAUGAAAUAGAUCUAUUUUCUUUGGUCAGACUUAUGACUCGCAAUGUUUUUUCUCUCUAUUUUCUAGAUAACUCUUAUUUUCUUGGUAUUUUCUAGAAGUUUUCUUAAUAUUUUUUUUCUAGAAAAAAAUUCUAUUUUGCCACUUGGGAAAAAAAAAACACUAAGAAAUGUCCCAAACUGUAUGUAACAAGGUGGUGAAAUGGUGCUGGGUCCACACCAUUUCGCGGGAAAAACAAAGCCAAAGAGUUCCAAAAAUUUCGAUUGGACUCAAAAAUGUUUGAGUUCUGAAUACCAGUACAAGACUGAGAUGGGGAGAGUGAUCAGCUCAGGCAGCUUCCAUUGGAAUAUCAAGUUGAGGUCAUGUCAUGCCAAGCUCAAACAUUUUUGACUCCAAUUGAAAUUUUUAGAACCUUUGGGCUUUGUUUUCCCCUCAAAAUGGUGUGGACCCAGCACCAUUUCACGCCCUUAUUGUUACAAAAACACACAAAGGCAUGCAAUUCCAGCCAUCCAUAGAAGAAAAGAAACGCCUCUAUACACAGUGGAUCAAGAUCACUCCACAAGAUGCAAGUUGAAACAUUCUGAUACAUGUUUCCUCUUCACAAUUUUACCUAGAAUAGAAUUCCUGCAACGGAGGUAACUGAAAUUGACUCCUCACCAAGAUAUUACCUAAAAUUCUUAUUUAACACUGGUUAAAAAAUUUGAAUUUUCCGUUCACGAGAAAAUCCUGAGUUUGUGAAAGUCAAAAAGGGCACUAUUGCAGACAUCUUAAUCAUACAAUUUUUCCCCCUGACCAUGUGUUGUUCAUAGUCUAUGAAUGUUCAACAGCCAAGCUGAAGCGUCAAGAUUGAAGUCGCCACAUUUCUAUACUGCAAAUACAGUUGCAGUAACAUUUUAUGUGCAAUUUAACUCUACUAGAUCAUGUUUGUUGUUUGUUUGGUUUUUUUUUUUUUUUUUUUUUUUUUUUUUUUUUUUUUUUUUUUUUUUUUUUUUUUUUUUUUUUUUUUUUUUUGGAGUGGAAAGUUUGAACAGAUGUAUUGAAAAUCCAAAAUGAGAAUACAAAAUCAUUAUGCUAAAAUUUUCACCUUGUCUGGGGGUCCAUUGCUAUACUUAAAACAUGCCUAGGUACCUUAGUUACAGGAUCUUUUUGUAUCGAACUAGUUUCCUCUCAAUAAGUGAGCUUAAUAUCCUCAUCCCGUGAGAUAUUGUUCACGUAAAUGACAGAUGUGUGACUCUAUUGAUUUCUGAUAUAGGUAUACUUACACCGGAAACACAGCAAUCCACAUCAAUUUUCAGGAAGGUCUUGAGAUGUGCCCAUAAUAGUAGCAUAUUGACAACUUUUGAAGCACCUUCAUUUUGAAUGUGAAAAUUAAGAAUCAAAGAUAAAACUGAAAAAAGGAGAAAAUUGUUAUGAGGAAAGAAGUUGUAGCAAUCAGUAAAAAAUCUAUUUUGAUGAGUCAAAGAUAAGUCAAUUUCCGGCCACAGUAUCACAAAUGCUGUUUGUAUUGGAAUUGAGUUAUAUAUGGAUGGUUUUGAAUUAAUAAGAUGCAUUUACCUACUGAUGAAAAUAAUAAUUUUCUUUACAUUACUUAAAAGAGAAAAAUUUGAAAAAAACUCUGUUAAAUCUAUGAGCGCCCGUAUCACAAACGCCAUGGUUUCUUAGAAUACACCGAGAACGCAGUAUCACAAGCGCCAAUUUUCAAAAAAAAAAAUGGUUUUUUUUUAAAGAAAUUUUAUUAAAAUUCAAGGCAGGAAGUUGUGCUGGAUCGGUAUUCCAAGUUUCAAGCCGAGAUUCCAUUUGAAGCGGUCGCAAAUCAGUUUUUGUGUCUCCUGAAAAGUUGGCACAGUGGCGCUUGUGAUACUUUGGCCGGAAGGUGACAAAGUAUGCUUCUACUUUGUUUCAGCUCUUUCUUUACAAAGAUUGAAACGCAAUAAUCGUAUCAUAGCAAAGUUUGUUCAAUGUUUCAGUGUUCAUGUACUUCCUAGGAGGAAUCACCUUAAAGUCACACCUAGUCAAGUGGUCCAUGUUGUACUUACUAUUAUCGCUCAAUGCAAAAAUCUCAGGUCCACUGGAGCCUUACUUCCGGUAUAUAUUUCAGACAGAUUUUAAGGCACCAACGUAAAUUUGAUUGCAAUACUUACCUAAUUACAAUAUGUAGAUGGAAAGGACAUAUGUUGACUUUAUUUAUUACAUUACAAAUAAGAGCGGCAGGGUUUGAGAAAAUCUAUAAUUCUAAAUAAAAGGCGCCGGCAAACUGGGCAAACUGAAGAAUGAUGAAAAUCAAAACAUAACCUCAAACCUGUUAUCACCUUAUCACUAAAUUCGGACUCCCGAACUUCCAUCCAAAAACAAUCAAUCGAUGUGCGCUCUAUGCUCUAUUUAUUUUCAUGAUCUGACGUUUCUCGUGAUAGUGGACUCCACAUUUCUUACGCGAUCAGUUACGCUUUUAAAAAAAAGAUUUUUACGUUCCGAAUAAGUGUUCACUCAUCGUAACCGAGUGUUCAGUGCAAUCGAGCCGACUCGCGGCUUGAAUUUUUGUGUCCCAAGUUCCAACCACACCCAAAAAUAGGCCUCUCGGAUACUGCCAUCAUGGACAUGAUGAUAACUAAUAUACAACAACAGAGACAAAUAACAGAGCAGCUUCGGAGGGAAGCUGCAAUUAAAAGAAUCCUGGUGUCGCAGGCUGUGCAAGAUAUCAUGAAGUACAUCCAGGAGCACACGCAGGAGGACUACCUGUUGGUUGGGUUCAGCUCGCAGAAGGCUAACCCGUUCCGAGAGAAGAGCAGUUGUUCCGUUUUGUAACUCAUCGGUUCCCUCAUUGUGCAACGAGCAGUUACUGACAUGUAAAAUCAUUUCAUUCACUAAUUUUAAGGUACCUGGCACCAAGCAUAGUAAUAAUUAAUCGGAUGUGUAAUUUUUCAGCUAUAGAAUGAUGCUUGGUCUCAGUAUUUGUGUUUUUUAAACGUAUUUCUCCAUGUAAGUCUCUGUAUUUUCAUUGUCGUCAUUAACUUUUUUUAUAUUAUUUUGUCUCGAUGAUUUUAAAGUUACAAUUUUCAAUACUUAAUAGUUUCUCAUACUAUUUCCUUCACCAUCUGGUUGCCAGUCGUUUCUCAAGCAGGCUUUGAGGGGAUCAAAUUGUUGACUAAAACCUGUUCAUAAAGUCAAUUUUAUCAUUUCAAUAUCUUUCUGGAAGUCACUAAGUUUUGAUAUUCCUCCUUGCUAUUACUGACUCGGGCGAAGUUCUUUUGCCGUAUCUCAUUCACCUUUCAACUAUCGAUCCUCCAAGUAUUUUCUGUCUUCAUUCACAAUUACAGAAAAUAGAUUUCUUUCUUUCAAAGCCUAUCAGGAUCGAGAAUAUCAUGAAUAUUUUCUGUUUGCAAUUUACAGCCUGAAGGAGUA